UACGUAGGGGGCAAGCGUUGUCCGGAAUCAUUGGGCGUAAAGCGCGUGUAGGCGGCCCGGUAAGUCCGCUGUGAAAGUCCAGGGCUCAACCCUGGAAUGCCGGUGGAUACUGUCGGGCUCGAGUCCGGAAGAGGCGAGUGGAAUUCCCAGUGUAGCGGUGAAAUGCGUAGAUAUUGGGAGGAACACCAGUGGCGAAGGCGGCUCGCUGGACCGGUUCUGACGCUGAGGCGCGAAAGCGUGGGGAGCAAACGGG
rnacentral:rRNA from 1 species